rnacentral:sRNA from 12 species
CCUAACCAUAUGGUUAGGCCACACGUCAGUUUAUUACGACUUUAUUUAGAUUUAUUUUAAGUCAUAAAAUACAGAAAAUUCUUACGAGAAUUUUCAGUGAACAGAAUCUAGGAGAUUCUGCGAAUUGAUAAAUUGGCUACAACGU